UGUACCUAUUUUUCUUCCUCUCCCUCUUCCUCUUUCUCUCCAUCCAGCGGACGGGCUCUCGGUGCUUUAUCUCCGGCUAGCAACCACGAGCACACACACGAUCAAAGCAUCGCAUCACCAGCAAGCACCAGCUAGCACACGGUGGCCAAAGAACGGACUAGUGGACUGAUCGAUCGACCUCACCAAUCGACCGGCGAGUCAAGGUAAAGACGUGAGGAGCAUCG
rnacentral:lncRNA from 1 species